AUUGAACGCUGGCGGCAGGCCUAACACAUGCAAGUCGAGCGGAUGAAGGGAGCUUGCUCCUGGAUUCAGCGGCGGACGGGUGAGUAAUGCCUAGGAAUCUGCCUGGUAGUGGGGGAUAACGUCCGGAAACGGGCGCUAAUACCGCAUACGUCCUGAGGGAGAAAGUGGGGGAUCUUCGGACCUCACGCUAUCAGAUGAGCCUAGGUCGGAUUAGCUAGUUGGUGGGGUAAAGGCCUACCAAGGCGACGAUCCGUAACUGGUCUGAGAGGAUGAUCAGUCACACUGGAACUGAGACACGGUCCAGACUCCUACGGGAGGCAGCAGUGGGGAAUAUUGGACAAAGGGCGAAAGCCUGAUCCAGCCAUGCCGCGUGUGUGAAGAAGGUCUUCGGAUUGUAAAGCACUUUAAGUUGGGAGGAAGGGCAGUAAGUUAAUACCUUGCUGUUUUGACGUUACCAACGGAAUAAGCACCGGCUAACUUCGUG
rnacentral:rRNA from 1 species